CAGUAAAAGAAGUAGAAUCAUAAACUGGUCUGAGUGUUGGAAUCGUGGUCGGCAUAGCUGUAGGUGUAUUUAUAGUUGUCCUGGUGAUUAUUUCCCUAUUAGUCCUUGUUCGAAGAGGACAUUUGCAUCCGCAAGACACGACCGACAACGCCAAUAAUUGAAGGCUCGUCGUUGCCAAAAUUCCAGCCUUGUUGAUCAGAGUUGAACAGUUUGGUAACGGACAAAAUAAAAUUGUAUUUCUUUGUAUGUAAACUCCAAUAUUGCAUUCUUGGACUGAGUUUGCCGAUUUAACAGUGUAAACAUGUAUUUUAACAAAGACAUUUUGUUAAACGACAAAACAUAACUGGUGUUUUAAGAGUAGCAAUACCAAGUGUGGAUAA